UGCCGUGAGGUCGUGUGAGAUGGAAGCUUGUAGCGAACUGCAGCACCGAACGAAAGUGAAUCUCCAAGCAGGCAUGUUGACCUGGGCAAGCGGGCCUUCAUCCGUGACGCCCCAUAUCCGAUCGUGGUCAGGGUGUAGUGGAGGCGGGAGCGGCGGGA
rnacentral:ncRNA from 1 species